rnacentral:rRNA from 1 species
CCUACGGGUGGCAGCAGUGAGGAAUAUUGGUCAAUGGGCGGGAGCCUGAACCAGCCAAGUCGCGUGAGGGAAGACGGUCCUACGGAUUGUAAACCUCUUUAGCCGGGGAGCAAUGCCGGGCACGUGUGCCCGGAGGGAGAGUACCCGCAGAAUAAGCAUCGGCUAACUCCGUGCCAGCAGCCGCGGUAAUACGGGGGAUGCGAGCGUUAUCCGGAUUGAUUGGGUUAAAAGGGUGCGUAGGCGGAUUUUUAAGUCGGCGGUAAAAUGUCGGGGCUCAACCCGGGCCGGCCGUUGAAACUGGGAGUCUUGAGUGGGCGAGAAGUAUGCGGAAUGCGUGGUGUAGCGGUGAAAUGCAUAGAUAUCACGCAGAACUCCGAUUGCGAAGGCAGCAUACCGGCGCCCGACUGACGCUGAGGCACGAAAGCGUGGGGAUCGAACAGGAUUAGAUACCCCUGUAGUC